AAUAAGCACAGCUAUAGGUUUCUAUACCCACCUUUAAUCAUCAUUUUUAUUAUUAUUAGAUGAUAAAAUAUAAAUAGUACUUUAUAUGUGACUUAAAUUUUAAAUUUUUUUAUAAUUUUUUUAAAUAAGACGGACAGUCAAACGUUGAGCACAGAAACUUAUGGCUGCAUUUAUA
rfam:Oryza sativa Japonica Group DNA, chromosome 1, cultivar: Nipponbare, complete sequence.